AUCCACAGCCAUAUCACCCUGCAGCCCAAGUCCGGUUACUCACUGAAGCUAAGCAGGGCUGAGCCUGGUCAGUACCUGGAUGGGAGACCACAUGGGAAAACUAGGGUGCUGUUGAAA
rnacentral:rRNA from 1 species